rnacentral:tRNA from 1 species
AAAUAAGAAGCGAAUAAUUGCAAUCAGUUUCGACCUGACACUUGGUGUAAACCCUUAUUUAUGUG